AUUGAACGCUGGCGGCAUGCCUUACACAUGCAAGUCGAACGGCAGCACGGGUGCUUGCACCUGGUGGCGAGUGGCGAACGGGUGAGUAAUACAUCGGAACAUGUCCUGGAGUGGGGGAAAGCCCGGCGAAAGCCGGAUUAAUACCGCACACGAUCCACGGAUGAAAGCGGGGGCCCUUCGGGCCUCGCGCUAUAGGGUUGGCCGAUGGCUGAUUAGCUAGUUGGUGGGGUAAAGGCCUACCAAGGCGACGAUCAGUAGCUGGUCUGAGAGGAUGACCAGCCACACUGGAACUGAGACACGGCCCAGACUCCUACGGGAGGCAGCAGUGGGGAAUAUUGGACAAUGGGCGAAAGCCUGAUCCAGCAAUGCCGCGUGUGUGAAGAAGGCCUUCGGGUUGUAAAGCACUUUUGUCCGGAAAGAAAUCCAUGGCGCUAAUACCGUCGGGGGAUGACGGUACCGGAAGAAUAAGCACCGGCUAACUACGUG
rnacentral:rRNA from 1 species